GACAGAGGGUGCAAGCGUUAUCCGGAAUUAUUGGGCGUAAAGAGCUCGUAGGCGGUUUGUCGCGUCUGCCGUGAAAGUCCGGGGCUCAACUCCGGAUCUGCGGUGGGUACGGGCAGACUAGAGUGAUGUAGGGGAGACUGGAAUUCCUGGUGUAGCGGUGAAAUGCGCAGAUAUCAGGAGGAACACCGAGGGCGAAGGCAGGUCUCUGGGCAUUAACUGACGCUGAGGAGCGAAAGCAUGGGGAGCGAACAGG
rnacentral:rRNA from 1 species